GGGGGCGUAGCUCAGAUGGUAGAGCGCUCGCUUAGCAUGCGAGAGGUACUGGGAUCGACACCCAGCGCCUCCA
rnacentral:tRNA from 1 species